GGGUGAGUAACGCGUGGGUAACCUGCCCUGUACAGGGGGGUAACAGUUGGAAACGACUGCUAACACCGCAUAACAUCGCGAGGGCGCAUGACCUUGCGAUCAAACAUUUAUGGGUACAGGAUGGGCCCGCGUCUGAUUAGCCAGUUGGUGAGGUAACGGCUCACCAAAGCGACGAUCAGUAGCCGUACUGAGAGGUAGAACGGCCACAUUGGGACUGAGACACGGCCCAAACUCCUACGGGAGGCAGCAGUGGGGAAUAUUGGUCAAUGGGGGCAACCCUGAACCAGCGACGCCGCGUGAGUGAAGAAGUAUUUCGGUAUGUAAAGCUCUAUCAGCAGGGACGAUGAUGACGGUACCUGACUAAGAAGCCCCGGCUAACUACGUGCCAGCAGCCGCGGUAAUACGUAGGGGGCAAGCGUUAUCCGGAUUUACUGGGUGUAAAGGGAGUGUAGGUGGUUAUGCAAGUCUGAUGUGAAAUCCAUGGGCUUAACCGAUGGACUGCAUUGGAAACUGCGUAACUGGAGUGCAGGAGAGGUAAGCGGAAUUCCUAGUGUAGCGGUGAAAUGCGUAGAUAUUAGGAAGAACACCGGUGGCGAAGGCGGCUUACUGGACUGUAACUG
rnacentral:rRNA from 1 species